rnacentral:lncRNA from 1 species
AGUUCCUGCUGGCUGUGCGCGCCUUAUUCUGACCUCACUCUAAGUGUAAGCGGCGGCUGCGGCUCCUGGAGCACAGCGGGCAGAACUGAGGUCUGCGCGCGCCCCUGCUGCCACAGGGCGUCCCGCGGUGGCUCCCCCGCCCUGCGGCGACUUCCGCGCCCGUGCUCCCCUUUAUCCGAUUCCCAGAGCGCCGGCAGUGACGGGGUCGGAGCCGGUGCCCUGGGCGACUGAGGCGGCCGUAGUCCGCGACCCGGCGAUGCCGGACCAGAUCUCCGUGUCGGAAUUCGUGGCCGAGACCCAUGAGGACUACAAGGCGCCCACGGCCUCUAGCUUCACCACGCCCACGGCCCAGUGCCGGGACACCGUGGCGGCCAUCGAGGAGGUGAGCGGUAGCGUCGCCGGCGCUGGGCCGGAGGCUAGGGCCGCGGGGAUCGUGCUGUGCCCUGGGGACCAGGUAGGCUUCCGCGCCUGGUGCCCGAUACCCAGUGCCCUCCGCCUGCGCCCACACCCGGGAAACGUUUCUGGUCUUCCUAAGCCGGACGCAGCCGUGCCAGCUCUGCCCUACACAGAAGCCCUUUGGUCCCUGUUCUAGGGAGAGGCUGCUUGGUCACCUUGGGCCUUUUUUUGGGAACGCUCCUGUCUGUUCCCAUUUCCCUCGCAGGGUUUCAGGUCCUUUGCUCCCAUCCUCGGAGAGGUCAACUUCGGCUGCAGAGUCCGUGGCGGCUGAGGCCCCGGAGUGAUAGGUCUCCCUGCGCGGACCUCUCCAACUUGUUCCAGAAGUGGCCCAGGAGGGGCAGCUCUGCGUUCUCAAACAACAUGCACAGCAGAUCCAGGGGACCUCAAGCUGCUUAUUCAGGGGUGCCCAUCCCAUCUUGGAAGGCCUGGCAGUUCCCGCUACUGCAGAGCAGCGCUGUCGAGGGAUGUGGAGAACCUGCGCUUUGAGGUCCAAAAGGUCUUUGGUGGCCACUUUUGGGCUACCUGUGUGGUGCCCGUUGACAGUAUGGUCAGUUCCUUUGCAAGGUGCAUAGUCAUCCUAUUUCGUGGCUAAGCAGCUAGCUCUCCAGAUCCUGUUGUAGAGGGACUGGGAGAAGGAAGCAGCUUGGGUUGAAAAUUGAAGCAGGCUUGGAAGAGGCUGUGUGAGUCCAUGCAGGGACCGAGGCUGGCCGUGGCUUUGGAUAGCCUCACUUACAUCAUUCUCUUUACCUCCCCAACAGAAUUUAGUUUCGUGUUUUCGGCUCCGUAGGCUUUGUGUGUCCAGCCGGACUCACAAUAGGUAGCUGGAGAACGAGACACACACGUAUAGCAAUAAUGAACCGAUGAAUACAUUUCCUUUGCUCAGAAUUUUAAGAUGGUGUAGAUAUUUUAAAAUGCUUGUGCCAGAGGUUGGUGUUCAGAGAGUUUUCAAAUUAAGCUAUGUCAUUACAUCCUUUCCCCUUGCUUGAAGAAAGCAUUUGCUAUUAGGUUUAGCCUG